UCGAGAAUUUUUCACAAUGGGCGAAAGCCUGAUGGAGCGACGCCGCGUGGGGGAUGAAUGGCUUCGGCCCGUAAACCCCUGUCAUUCGGGAUCAAUGCCUGCGGCCUAAUACGUUGCAGGUUGAUAGUACCGGAAGAGGAAGGGACGGCUAACUCUGUGCCAGCAGCCGCGGUAAUACAGAGGUCCCAAGCGUUGUUCGGAUUCACUGGGCGUAAAGGGUGCGUAGGUGGUCGGGUAAGUCUGAUGUGAAAUCUCGGAGCUUAACUCCGAAACGGCAUUGGAUACUAUUCGGCUUGAGGAUUGGAGGGGGGACUGGAAUUCUCGGUGUAGCAGUGAAAUGCGUAGAUAUCGAGAGGAACACCAGUGGCGAAGGCGAGUCCCUGGACAAUUCCUGACACUAAGGCACGAAAGCUAGGGGAGCAAACAGG
rnacentral:rRNA from 1 species